AGUACUGUUAAAGAAUUGACAGCAAGCAUGAUGUGGACUAAGGUGUUUUUCCUUUUUGCUGUAUUUGCAACUGCAAAUGCUCAGACUGAUGUCAGCAGUUGUAUAAGCAACACAGGAGAACUUCCUGUUUUCAUUGAAGUGGUUGGUUGCACAACACCUCCUUGCUUACUUCCUCAGCUUCAACAUGUUGUGAUGAACAUUAUAUUCCGAGUACCCCAGACAAUGGUCUCGUUGCGAACCCUAGCCACUGCUUACAUGCAAGUUGGAUCUUUAAUCGUGCCUCUGCCUUACGAAUUGGGCGAGGAUUCCUUUCAUAACCAACCUGCAAUUUCAUAACCAACGCUUAUUGCCCAGUACUUGAGGGAGAAGUUUUGUCCUAUCAGUUAAGGAUGUUUAUUGAAUCUUUCAUGGUAGUGGGCACUCAAACAACUGUAGAGUUCAGGAUAGUGGACGCCUCUAAUACCAGGUCAGCUUUAAUGUGCAUCAGACUGCCGAUUCGCAUCGUGCCACCUUUGUCGGCGGCACUUGAAGGUCCUACGGGUGAAGGCAGUGAAGAUUCCAACAAUUAAGACUUUUUAAUGUUGAAUGAUGAGCAGGAAUUCCGAGACUCUUAAACACGCCUUAUAAACUCAAUGGCAUUUGAUUUUUGUUAAUUUGACUUCCCAUGAAUUUCUUUCCGUUUGUGUAGCAAUAACGAAAAC